AGAGAGAGACAUGCGCGCAUAUCAAUAAGCGGAGGAAAAGAAACUAACUAGGAUUCCCUCAGUAACGGCGAGUGAAGCGGGAAGAGCUCAAAUUUGAAAUCUUCAAGGUUCUACCUUGACGAAUUGUAGUUUAAAGAAGUGUUUUCUGUUGGAGUUUUGGUAAAAGUUCUUUGGAAUAGGACAUCAUAGAGGGUGAGAAUCCCGUAUUUGACCAUUAUUUCCAGCUUUGUGAUACACUUCCAAAGAGUCGGAUUGUUUGGGAAUGCAGUCCAAAAUGGGUGGUAAAUUUCAUCUAAAGCUAAAUACUUGGCGAGAGACCGAUAGCGAACAAGUACCGUGAGGGAAAGAUGAAAAGAACUUUGAAAAGAGAGUUAAACAGUACGUGAAAUUGUCAAAAGGGAAGCGUUUGACACCAGUGUUGUUUUCCUCGAAAAUCAAUUAAAAAAGGCAGGAUUUUGUGUUGUAUUGACUUUAUCAGCUUUCUGCACUCUUUUCUUGUCUUUUUUAAUGCACUUUUCGUUUAACAAGUCAACAUCAAUUUCUUUUGUUGUAAAAGGGUCAUUGGAAGGUGGCUUUCUUUUCGGAGAAAGUGUUUAUAGCCUUUGGCCUCUGCAAUCGGAGAGAUUGAGGUCUGCAGCGUAGAUCCUUCGGGGUUAGAUACAUUUGUGCUAAGUUAUAGCCUUUCAUAGACAACUUGUUGACUAUGAUCAGUCAUGUAGCUUACUCGCUUAUGCUAUUUUACCUACGCUUAGGAUGUUGAUGUGAUACUGCGAGCAA
rnacentral:rRNA from 1 species